GGGCGCCUACGGGACGCAGCAGUAGGGAAUCUUCCACAAUGGACGAAAGUCUGAUGGAGCAACGCCGCGUGAGUGAAGAAGGGGUUCGGCUCGUAAAUCUCUGUUGGUAGUGAAGAAAGAUAGAGGUAGGAACUGGCCUUUAUUUGACGGUAAUUACUUUGAAAGUCACGGGUAACUACGUGCCAGCAGCCGCGGGAAUACGGAGGUGGCAAGAGUUGUCCGGUUUUAUUGGG
rnacentral:rRNA from 1 species